rnacentral:rRNA from 2 species
GGUUAAGCGACUAAGCGUACACGGUGGAUGCCCUGGCAGUCAGAGGCGAUGAAGGACGUGCUAAUCUGCGAUAAGCGUCGGUAAGGUGAUAUGAACCGUUAUAACCGGCGAUUUCCGAAUGGGGAAACCCAGUGUGUUUCGACACACUAUCAUUAACUGAAUCCAUAGGUUAAUGAGGCGA